rnacentral:rRNA from 1 species
CCUACGGGAGGCAGCAGUGAGGAAUAUUGGUCAAUGGGCGCGAGCCUGAACCAGCCAAGUCGCGUGAGGGAAGACGGUCCUAUGGAUUGUAAACCUCUUUUGUCGGGGAGCAAAAGACGCCACGCGUGGCGUUCCGAGAGUACCCGAAGAAAAAGCAUCGGCUAACUCCGUGCCAGCAGCCGCGGUAAUACGGAGGAUGCGAGCGUUAUCCGGAUUUAUUGGGUUUAAAGGGUGCGCAGGCGGAAGAGCAAGUCAGCGGUAAAAUCGAGGGGUUAAACCUCUGCGCGCCGUUGAAACUGGUUUUCUUGAGUGAGUGAGAGGUAUGCGGAAUGCGGGGUGUAGCGGUGAAAUGCGUAGAUAUCAGGAAGAACACCGGUUGCGAAGGCAGCAUACCGGAGCUCAACUGACGCUGAGGCACGAAAGCGUGGGGAGCGAACAGGAUUAGAUACCCCAGUAGUC